GGGGAAGGGAGCUACUGGAGCAGCCCUGCGCGUGAGGAGAAGGUCUUCGGAUUGAUACUCUUUUAGUCGGGAAAAAAGACUUUCCUGAUCGUAAUGCCCGGGAUGUUCCAUGACAGCCCCGCGGUAAUAUGCCAUCGCCCCGGCAAUAUAAUAA
rnacentral:rRNA from 1 species